CAGUCGCCACGGUAAUACGUAGGGUGCAAGCGUUAAUCGGAAUUACUGGGCGUAAAGCGUGCGCAGGCGGUUUGUUAAGACAGAUGUGAAAUCCCCGGGCUCAACCUGGGAACUGCAUUUGUGACUGGCAAGCUAGAGUGUGGCAGAGGGGGGUGGAAUUCCGCGUGUAGCAGUGAAAUGCGUAGAUAUGCGGAGGAACACCGAUGGCGAAGGCAGCCCCCUGGGCCAACACUGACGCUCAUGCACGAAAGCGUGGGGAGCAAACAGGAUUAGAUACCCCGGUAGUCCCUGUCUCUUAUAC
rnacentral:rRNA from 1 species